ensembl:lncRNA
GGGACACGCUGCUGAUGAACGCUUUGCCAGAAGCCCAGGGAGCCCUAAUGUGCCUGAAGGAGAGGGACAGAUACAAAGAGCUCUGAGAUCGUGGCUGGCUUUCGAGGAGCAUUUCACAAAUACCUUCUUGGGACCAAUCGCAGUGCCAGCAGAGGUUGAUUGGAGCAGGACAGACACUUACGUUGGCUUGAACCUAGACCGGCAGGACUCAGAGCAAGGAAAGCGGGUGAAGCAGCGGGGAUCGGACCUGCGUAGGGAUGCCGGGAUGGAGCACGACCGCACGUCCUCCGUGGAGCUAUGGCCUCUUCUCGGUAAAAUGCCCUGUAGAUGUCACCAAAUCUCCGUGCACGAACCCGCGCUUGCGUCCUGUUUAUCCCUGGCAGCUGGACCACUGCGGAUGCUGCCCCGGUCCGGCUGAAAUGAUGCUGCGAUCGGGCCCCGAUUCCUGGGCCGAGCUGGUGGUGCCGGUGGCAUGGACAUCGAUGCUGAUGGAGAGCAGUUCCAGCCCUCGUGGGGAGCCAGGACCCGCUUCUUGGCCCUGCCUGGGGCCUCUCGUCCCUGUGCGUGGCUUUGGGGACCAUCCCUGCAGUGGGACAAAUCCAGGAGAGCCAGGAACGGAAACGGCGGAGCUGCUCACGGGGCUGCUCCUUCGCCCGCUGCAGGCUAAAAGGAGUUGACCGAGAUCGUCACAUCCUGCAUCAGGAAGUUCCACAGGCGAUGGGGAAAGAAGAAAUUAAACCGGAGCCUUUCUACCUUCACAGCUGGCCAGAUACGAUCAUCAGGACAGCCUCGUGUAGCAGCUGCUAUAGCGAAGCUCUUGACCGCAAAGUCAAACAGUAGCUGCUUUCUAAAUGGCAUGUUCUUCCAGUUGUGGCUCUUGUCACUUGGGCACGUAAACAUUUUUCACUCCUUGCCACCCCCUGGCAGCCUGGCUUUGCGAGGAAGCCAGAGUAAAUUUUGCUCAYGUGUGAUGUCCCGUAUACUCUGAUUGCUUUGAUUUGGCUGUAAUUGUCGUGAUUCACUCUAACAAAACAAAGUCCCCUGUUAGUGAUUGCUACCUUGUUUUUGAAACUGGAAAUCAGGCCACCACCUAGUGUGCUUAUUAUAUGGCAUGGAAAAUGGAGAUGUUUUCGAGUAAUCUGGCAAGGACCCUGAUGAGCUGUUAAGAGUCCUCCAGAAAGAACAGAAGAGGAAUUUCCAUGUGCAAAUGGCCCAUUUUCAUGCUGACUUUUCAUUUCUAUUUGUGGCCAGCACUAGGUGUUGCUAAUCGAAAGCCAGAAUUGGACUUAAGCCCUGAGGAAUGGAGGCUUUUCUUCCCGUGCUCAGCAAGCUGUGCUUUCCAAGAGGGUUCUCACCUGCUGCAUCAAAGUCGAACCUUGGCCGGUUCUCACUGGGACCUUGCUCUGGAGGUGGAGCAGCCUUUGGCAUCCCGUGCACCAGCUGCACUGUGCAAAACUGUGGGUUCGGUGUGAAAAUUUACCCGCAAAGUGCUUGCAGCUUGUGGGCCACUUCAGAUGUCACAUUUCUGCCCUAUUAUUUCAGCAAUAAGCUUUUGAAUAAGCUGUGAAUACUUUAUGGACAAAUUUUCAAACAAGCCUGGAUCCUUCAAAAACAGUCUUUCAUAGCUAAAUAACAGAAGUGGGUAGGAAGCAGAUUUUUUUUUUUCCUGUUUUGUGG